rnacentral:rRNA from 1 species
AGAAUGAACGCUGGCGGCGUGCUUAAUACAUGCAAGUCGAACGGAAUCCAAGGAGCUUGCUCCUGAAGAUUCAGUGGCGAACGGGUGAGUAUCACGUGAGCAACCUGCCCCGAAGAUUGGGAUAACACCGGGAAACCGGUGCUAAUACCGAAUACCCUUCAAUGGCCGCAUGACCGAUGAAGGAAAUGUUUUUUCGCUUUGGGAGGGGCUCGCGGUCCAUCAGCUUGUUGGCGGGGUAAUGGCCCACCAAGGCAACGACGGAUAGCUGGUCUGAGAGGACGUUCAGCCACACUGGAACUGAGACACGGUCCAGACUCCUACGGGAGGCAGCAGUAGGGAAUCUUGCGCAAUGGACGAAAGUCUGACGCAGCAACGCCGCGUGAGGACGAAGGCUUUCUGAGUUGUAAACUCCUUUCAGCAGGGACGAUAGUGACGGUACCUGCAGAAGAAGCACCGGCCAACCACGUGCCAGCAGCCGCGGUGAUACGUAGGGUGCAAGCGUUGUCCGGAUUUAUUGGGCGUAAAGAGCUCGUAGGCGGUUUGAUAAGUCGGGUGUGAAACCUCCAGGCUCAACCUGGAGCCGCCACUCGAUACUGUCAUGACUAGAAUUCGGUAGGGGACCACGGAAUUCCUGGUGUAGCGGUGAAAUGCGCAGAUAUCAGGAGGAACACCAGCAGCGAAGGCGGUGGUCUGGGCCGACAUUGACGCUGAGGAGCGAAAGCGUGGGGAGCGAACAGGAUUAGAUACCCUGGUAGUCCACGCCGUAAACGUUGGGCACUAGGUGGUGGGGACUAUUCAACGGUUUCCGUGCCGCAGCUAACGCAUUAAGUGCCCCGCCUGGGGGAGUACGGCCGCAAGGCUAAA